GACGAACGCUGGCGGCGUGCCUAACACAUGCAAGUCGAGCGAUUCUCUUCGGAGAAGAGCGGCGGACGGGUGAGUAACGCGUGGGUAACCUGCCCUGUACACACGGAUAACAUACCGAAAGGUAUGCUAAUACGAGAUAAUAUGAUUUUAUCGCAUGGUAGAAGUAUCAAAGCUCCGGCGGUACAGGAUGGACCCGCGUCUGAUUAGCUAGUUGGUAAGGUAACGGCUUACCAAGGCGACGAUCAGUAGCCGACCUGAGAGGGUGAUCGGCCACAUUGGAACUGAGACACGGUCCAAACUCCUACGGGAGGCAGCAGUGGGGAAUAUUGCACAAUGGGCGAAAGCCUGAUGCAGCAACGCCGCGUGAGCGAUGAAGGCCUUCGGGUCGUAAAGCUCUGUCCUCAAGGAAGAUAAUGACGGUACUUGAGGAGGAAGCCCCGGCUAACUACGUGCCAGCCGCCGCAGUAA
rnacentral:rRNA from 1 species